rnacentral:rRNA from 1 species
GGCGGGGCAACGGCCCACCAAGCCCACGAUAUCUAGGGGUUCUGAGAGGAAGGUCCCCCACAUUGGUACUGAGACACGGACCAAACUCCUACGGGAGGCAGCAGUGAGGAAUAUUGGUCAAUGGACGAGAGUCUGAACCAGCCAAGUCGCGUGAAGGAAGACGGAUCUAUGGUUUGUAAACUUCUUUAGUGCGGGAACAAAGUGGCGUCGUGACGCCUGAUGAGUGUACCGCAAGAAUAAGCAUCGGCUAACUCCGUGCCAGCAGCCGCGGUAAUACGGAGGAUGCGAGCGUUAUCCGGAUUUAUUGGGUUUAAAGGGAGCGCAGGCUGCGAGGCAAGUCAGCGGUCAAAUGUCGGGGCUCAACCCCGGCCUGCCGUUGAAACUGUCCUGCUAGAGUUCGAGUGAGGUAUGCGGAAUGCGUUGUGUAGCGGUGAAAUGCAUAGAUAUGACGCAGAACUCCGAUUGCGAAGGCAGCAUACCAACUCGCGACUGACGCUGAGGCUCGAAAGCGUGGGUAUCGAACAGGAUUAGAUACCCUGGUAGUCCACGCAGUAAACGAUGAAUACUAACUGUUCGGAGGGCGACCUCUGAGUGGUAAAGCGAAAGCGUUAAGUAUUCCACCUGGGG